rnacentral:rRNA from 1 species
UACGUAGGGUGCGAGCGUUGUUCGGAAUUACUGGGCGUAAAGCGCGCGUAGGCGGGCCUACAUGUCGAUUGUGAAAGCCCUGGGCUUAACCCGGGAAUUGCAGUCGAAACGGUAGGUCUUGAGUACCUGAGAGGAUGGCGGAAUUCCCGGUGUAGAAGUGAAAUUCGUAGAUAUCGGGAAGAACACCUGAGGCGAAGGCGGCUAUCUGGCGGUGUACUGACGCUAAGGCGCGAAAGCGUGGGGAGCAAACAGG